CCUACGGGUGGCUGCAGUGGGGAAUAUUGCGCAAUGGGCGAAAGCCUGACGCAGCGACGCCGCGUGUGGGAUGAAGGUCUUCGGAUCGUAAACCACUGUCGGGGGGGACGAACACCAUGACGGUACCCCCAAAGGAAGCACCGGCUAACUCUGUGCCAGCAGCCGCGGUAAUACAGAGGGUGCGAGCGUUGUCCGGAAUCACUGGGCGUAAAGGGCGCGUAGGCGGCCCGAUAAGUAGGGGGUGAAAUCUUGCGGCUCAACCGCAGGGCUGCCUCCUAGACUGUCGGGCUCGAGCACGGCAGAGGCUGGUGGAAUUCCCGGUGUAGCGGUGGAAUGCGUAGAGAUCGGGAAGAACAUCGGUGGCGAAGGCGGCCAGCUGGGCCGUUGCUGACGCUGAGGCGCGACAGCGUGGGGAGCAAACAGGAUUAGAUACCCGGGUAGUC
rnacentral:rRNA from 1 species